rnacentral:lncRNA from 1 species
CUUGUGUGCUCACAGGAAUCGAUGUAAAAUCGACCGAAGUCGGCCGAAAACAACCAAAAAUGACCAACUCGAGGAGGAUCACCGCCGAAGGCGACGGCGCCGUCGCCAGAGCACAGCGGAGCCACUGUGCUGGAUUUUUGAAAUUGGUCGAGUAAGCCCUGGGAUUCGUGUUUGGGUGUAUUUGGGAGAUUUUUAAGUACCAUAAACGCGUUUCAGUUCUCGAAAAAAAAUUCAAAGAACCUAGGGACCGCCCGUAAGCGUAGUAAAUCAGUUAACUUUUUGGCGUCAAAUCAAAUAAGAACCCCUCACCCUAUUUCCUAUCAUAGAUUUAAAGUUUGAAUGAAUAAUAAUAUGGUCUUUUAUACAAAUUAAAUAGAUGUGCAUAAUUAAUUACGGAUUGCUAAUGAAGACCAAACCGGACAUUGUUCUCUGCUG